CACAGUGUCAGGACAAACCCCAGCGGCAAAACCAUCCCUGACAGAGCAUACACUCGUCUUUGUAAUGUAGAAAUCAUCAGCGAAAGGGAAGCCAUCCUCUCUAAUCCCAGUAAUCACAACAUCAGCGUUCAACAUGAGAUUUGAGGUAGUGUUCGGCUUAGCCCAACCAAACGCCAUGUAGUUCAGUAAACCAGUUGUAGCCUCUAGACCAAUAUCUACAUAACCUUCAUCUACAUUCAAGGUCCACCUGAGCCUAUACUUAUCAGAAAGCUUCUUGCAAUUAUCAAACAUGGUAGGAGCCUUAAAGGGCUCACUGUUAUUCGAUUUCCCAGGAGUAGCAGCGUCUUUACUCUCUGAAGGAGGUGAUUCGGAUUUUGAAGAAGACGAAUCUUGCUCUGUAGCAUUGGAGAGCAGAACAUGCCCAAAAUCAGAAGCAGUAGGUAAAUCCCAAACCGAAACCACUCCUAUACUAUCCCAUGUAACAUUAUCCAACAAUCGGACGACGAAAGAUUGAUUAUUGAACGUUUGAUUAAGCUUAUGAUCAGAGAUCACGAAGCCACUAUCAGUCAUGUUCUCGAAAUCAGAGGUCAUUGCACCCCACCAAUGAACAUCAGAACCAGAGAGCAUAUCGAAACGUGAAACCCUAAAGGAACAAUCAUCAAGAACGGUGAAAACCCCACGGAGCUGGUGUUGCAACAUCCUGAACUCGGACUCGUACCCGACCAAAGAGCUAGACUUUGAGCAUUUUUGCCCGUUUACGAAGAGGAAGAAGAAGAAACCCAACACGAGAGACCAACAACUCCUAUUACAACAGCUGAUUGACCAACGAUCGAGUGAGAAUACUCCCAGAUUAGUCGCUUCGAAGACAUUAGCUCCCCUUGAGCAGGCUUCGCCGGCCUUAGCCAAGCGUUCACGGGCUGAGCGCAAGCCAAAACUAUGGCUGUGAAACCGAACUUGACGUGGGACGAACUGAAGCUGAAACCGUUGAGUUCAGCUACUGCGAAGAGGAGACCGAGGAAGACAAUGGCUAGUCCUGAACACUGAAGAUACAUGUGAAUCUUGAACCAGCCAUCGCCCUUGAUGUGUUUCAGGUAUCUAGCAGAUAAUAUCCCACCAGGAAGCAAGAUUCCCCAAGCGAGGAACAUCAUGAAUCCAUGAACGCCCAAGACCGGUCUGAGAUCUUGCUCCGCUUCCGCUGAUCCACGCGUCAGCAUGACACGGACAGGUCUCUGACUUGUAACCGAGUGCAUGUUUCUCUCUGUUAACUGACCAUCUGUCCAUUUAGCACCCAUUGCCCAUAUCACUUUAAGAGGAGUUGUGGGAUCGAUCAUGUUCUUACACUCGGGUCUAUCUCGAUGACUGCAGGAAGGCUUCAAGGGACGGGUGAACUCAAGAGUGAUGAUCCCUUCUUCGGACUUGCAUCUCACAUAUGUCAUGUUCUCGACUGUAGGGUGAAUAGAGGAAGCUGAUUCUCCAUCAAUCCAGUACGUGUUUACGUGCCCUGUUCCGUUUCUAUCGAACCAGCCAACGUAAGCAUAACUAUUUGUCAUCUCGCUGCCGAAACCAAUUGCGAGAUAGCCGCUUUUCUUCUCCCCACGAGCUGCAAUCGAUAUUGAAUCACCUACUAUUGUCCAAAAGAACUUUACUUGCUGAUCAUCUAGAUUAACACUGUUGUUGUACAUAUCCGAGAGUCCACCGUCCACAACCUGAACCUUCCAACCCAUUUUCUCUUGAAAUAUCGAGUGAUAAUAGAGCUGGUCAGGUGUGUUUCUAUUAGGAGCCCAAACGAGCUCUAACGGACUCGACAAUACUCCAUGAGUUUCUUGCCCACCCGCAUAGAUCGUCUCUGUUCUGUUCCUUAGAGAAGCAUUCCCACCGAGAAAGUCUGAAGUUAUGUAGAACGAGACGUCGUGUCCUGCUUCUAUUGAAAACUUCACAGGAACACCUCUUUCCACUCUCAGCACCGGUGCUUCUUUCUUGUUGAUGUACAGAACCUUCGCAGGGUUUGGAGGGUUCGGAUAAUGAACAGAUGGUCCAGCCGUGACAACAAGAGGUGCGUUGGCAUCAGCAAUGAUCACACCUUGAUCAUACUUGUUGUCUGCGUCCAAUGGUCCCAAACACUCAUCCACAUGAUCAGAGAGACUAAGCGAAAAAUGCCCGUAGUUUUCCGAUUCCACACCGCCGUGAUUCUCAGGUAGAUAGUAAGGAUUGAUAACAUCUGGUGGUUUUAUCACCCCAAGCGCCCAAAUAACCGUGAGAUUCUCAGUUGCAUUCACAGGAAAAUCAAACUUAUUAUCACUAUCAUUCAACGGCCUCCUAUACCUAACAAACGAAACUCCAUCUAUCCUAUGCCCGUAAACAAGUUUUGUGUUAUUCACCGAAGAGCCAACUGCAUCUGAUCCUUCAUACACAGUGUCAGGACAAACCCCAGCAGCAAAACCAUCCCUGACAGAGCAUACACUCGUCUUCGUAAUGUAGAAAUCAUCAGCAAAAGGGAAGCCAUCCUCCCUGAUCCCAGUAAUCACAACGUCAGCAUUCAACAUAAGGUUUGAGGUAGUGUUCGGCUUAGCCCAACCAAACGCCAUGUAGUUCAGUAAACCAGUUGUAGCCUCUAGACCAAUAUCUACAUAACCUUCAUCUACAUUCAAGCUCCACCUGAGCCUAUACUUAUCAGAAAGCUUCU
rnacentral:lncRNA from 1 species